GACACGGUCCAGACACCUACGGGUGGCAGCAGUCGAGAAUUUUUCACAAUGGGCGAAAGCCUGAUGGAGCGACGCCGCGUGGGGGAUGAAUGGCUUCGGCCCGUAAACCCCUGUCAUUCGCGAGCAAUGCCUUCCCGAUAACACCGGGACGGUUGAUCGUAGCGAAAGAGGAAGGGACGGCUAACUCUGUGCCAGCAGCCGCGGUAAUACAGAGGUCCCAAGCGUUGUUCGGAUUCACUGGGCGUAAAGGGUGCGUAGGUGGUGAGGUAAGUUCGGUGUGAAAUCUCCGGGCUCAACCCGGAAAAGGCAUUGAAUACUAUCUUGCUAGAGGUUUGGAGGGGGGACUGGAAUUCUCGGUGUAGCAGUGAAAUGCGUAGAUAUCGAGAGGAACACCGGUGGCGAAGGCGAGUCCCUGGACAACACCUGACACUGAGGCACGAAAGCUAGGGGAGCAAACAGGAUUAGAUACCCUGGUAGUCCUAGCCCUAAACGGUGCACAUUUGCUGUGGGCGGAAUCGACCCCGUCCGUGGCGAAGCUAACGCGAUAAAUGUGCCGCCUGGGAAGUACGGUCGCAAGAUUAAAACUCAAAGAAAUUGACGGGGGCCUGCACAAGCGGUGGAGUAUGUGGCUCAAUUCGAUGCAACGCGAAGAACCUUACCUGGCCUUGACAUGUAGGUGGUAGAAGGAUGAAAGUCUAACGAACCCGCAAGGGUAGCCUACACAGGUGCUGCAUGGCUGUCGUCAGCUCGUGUCGUGAGAUGUUGGGUUAAGUCCCGCAACGAGCGCAACCCCUGUGUCCUGUUGCCACUCCUGCGAAAGCGGGAAGCACUCCGGACAGACUGCCUCGCUUAAACGGGGAGGAAGGUGGGGAUGACGUCAAGUCAGUAUGGCCCUUACGGCCAGGGCUGCACACGUACUACAAUGCCCGGCACAGAGGGACGCAAGAUCGUAAGAUGGAGCUAAUCCCUAAAACCGGGCUCAGUUCAGAUUGUCGUCUGCAACUCGACGGCAUGAAGCUGGAAUCGCUAGUAAUGGCGCAUCAGCUACGGCGCCGUGAAUACGUUCCCAGGCCUUGUACACACCGCCCGUCACAUCAUGAAAGCCGUUUGUACCCGAAGUCACUAUGCUAACCGCAAGGAGGCCGGUGCCGAAGGUGUGAACGGUGAUUGGGAUGAAGUCGUAACAAGGUAGCCGUAGGGGAACCUGCGGCUGGAUCACCUCCUUU
rnacentral:rRNA from 1 species